CCCCUAGUAACGGCGAGUGAAGCGGGAAGAGCUCAAAUUUGAAAUCUGGCACUUUCAGUGUCCGAGUUGUAAUCUCGAGAAGUGUUUUCCGCGCUGGACCGCAUAUAAGUCUGUUGGAAUACAGCGUCAUAGUGGUGAGAACCCCGUAAUUGAUGCGGACGCCCAGUGCUUUGUGAUACACUUUCGAAGAGUCGAGUUGUUUGGGAAUGCAGCUCAAAUUGGGUGGUAAAUUCCAUCUAAAAGGYUAAAUAUUGGCGAGAGACCGAUAGCGAAACAAGUMCCGUGAGGGAAAGGAUGAAAASCMYYUUGGAAAGAGAGUUAACAGUACGUGAAAUUGUUGGAAGGGAAACGCUUGAAGUCAGACUUGCUGUUUGGAAUUCAGCCGCAAGGUGUACUUUUCAGAUAUGCAGGCCAGCAUCAGUUUUUGGGGGUGAAAAAGGGUAUGGAGAAGGUAGCAGUUUCGGCUGUGUUAUAGCUCUUUGCUGGAUUCAUCCUUGGGGACUGAGGAACGCAGCUCACUUUUUGCACGAUCUUCGGAUUGUUCUGAGCUUAGGAUGCUGGUGGAAUGGCUUUAAACGACCCGUCUUGAAACACGGACCAAGGAGUCUAACAUGCUUGCGAGUGUUUGGGUGUCAAACCCGGACGCGCAAUGAAAGUGAAUGCAGGUGGGAACCGCAAGGUGCACCAUCGACCGAUCUGGAUUUUCUAAGAUGGAUUUGAGUAAGAGCAAUUAUGUUGGGACCCGAAAGAUGGUGAACUAUGCCUGAAUAGGGCGAAGCCAGAGGAAACUCUGGUGGAGGCUCGUAGCGGUUCUGACGUGCAAAUCGAUCGUCAAAUUUGGGUAUAGGGGCGAAAGACUAAUCGAACCAUUAACUGUAUUU
rnacentral:rRNA from 1 species